UUCGCAAUGCCCGAAAGGGUGACGAUGCGACGCCGCGUGAGCGAAGAAGGCCCUAGGGUUGUAAAGCUCUGUCGAGGGUUAUGAAAUAUAGAUGGGUUAAUACCCCAUUUAUUUGACAAAAGCCCAAAAGGAAGCCACGGCUAACUCCGUGCCAGCAGCCGCGGUAAUACAGAGGUGGCGAGCGUUGUUCGGUAUUAUUGGGCGUAAAGAGCACGUAGGUGGUUUUGUAAGUCAGGUGUGAAAGCCUUCUGUUCAAAGGAAGAACGGCAUCUGAAACUGCAGAUCUUGAGUGUAGGAGGGGAGAGUGGAACUUCUGGUGGAGCGGUGAAAUGCGUAGAUAUCAGAAGGAACGUCGGCGGCGAAAGCGACUCUCUGGCCUAUUACUGACACUGAGGUGCGAAAGUUAGGGGAGCAAACGGGAUUAGAUACCCCGGUAGUCCUAACCGUAAACGAUGGGCACUAAGUAGAGGGGUUUU
rnacentral:rRNA from 1 species